GAAGAAGAGCUCUGCAUUGAACUGACUUAACAGCUAAAACUACUGAAGUAGCUCUCACCGGGGAAACAUAAGCUAAAACAAAAACGACAACAAUAAAAACCCACCACAAUGGUGGAAGUGUCAGUGAGUCACAUUGGUACCUUGAAAGUGGCUCUGGAGGAAGUGUUUAUACCAUGGAAACUGCUUCUCAUUUUGACCAUUCCAACCAUCUGAUGCAGUAAGGGCAGUUACUUUGUGAAGGCAGUUGCACCAAAGGCAUAAAAGGAGUCCUGGAAAAUAGCAGCUUUGAAGACUGGAAUGGUGCAAAAUCCCAAAUGAAGGUGACUGGUUGGAUCUGCAAUAACACGACUGCAGGGUAUUCAUUCAGCGAAUAUUCAUUGAGCACCUGCCGUGUUCCAGACACCAUGACAGACACUGCAUUCAUAAAGAUGAACAAGUAGAGCUUACAGUCUAUUGAAAGGUAAGUCAACAGGAAAUAACGAUGUAAUUAAAGGGUGAGGAUGAGCUAA